rnacentral:rRNA from 1 species
GGAAUCUUGCGCAAUGGGCGAAAGCCUGACGCAGCGACGCCGCGUGGGUGAUGAAGGCCUUCGGGUUGUAAAGCCCUUUCGACGGGGACGAUGAUGACGGUACCCGGCGAAGAAGCACCGGCUACCUCCGUGCCAGCAGCCGCGGUAAGACGGAGGGUGCUAGCGUUGUUCGGAAUCACUGGGCGUAAAGGGCGCGUAGGCGGCCCAUCGUGUCGGCUCGUGAAAGCCCGGGGCUCAACCCCGGAGGUGCGGCCGAAACUGAUGGGCUGGAGGCCGGAAGAGGAGGGUGGAAUACCCAGUGUAGAGGUGAAAUUCGUAGAUAUUGGGUGGAACACCGGUGGCGAAAGCGGCUCUCUGGUCCGGUCCUGACGCUGAGGCGCGAAAGCGUGGGGAGCAAAC